CGGCUUGUAUAAAAUUAACUACUUAAUUAAAAUAAGAUUGAUGGUAGCUUACACGUUUAAUUAAAAGAAUAUCAAUAUUAAAUUAACGUGUUGACUUGGUAGACGAGAGUCAGUGUGGGUUACAGAAAGCUGAGCAAGCAAGCUACAUUUCAGGUUAGCCAUGUCGCGUGUGUUGCUGUCACUGAUUGUCUUCACGUACGUACUUGACGUCGAAUCUGGCUGCAGCAAUUCCGACUGGACGUUAAGCUUUGACGUGCAAGGUACGUCACAAUGCGCCAACCCCGGUUACUUUAUCAAGGGCUUCCUUAGGACCUAUGCCGAUGAAAACGAUGAAAUAUAUCGCCUGGAAGGAGCUGAAUGCUGCUAUCCGACUUGGCCAUGGGAAGGCAACGACUUGGUGAAAGUAAACGCGAACUGGUGGGGUGCUCUUGAUAAUCCCCACAGUUGGGCAUUAUGUCCUACAGGUUAUUUUCUUUACGGGCUGUACAGGACUGUAGGUAGUAAACUAUCAGGACUCCAUAAUAUUGAAGAAGGACUGUGCGCUAAACCCAGAAACCACCCAGAUGCAUACGGUCACUGCUACACCCAGGAUAUUAUUCUGUGUUUUGAUAAUAUAGGUAUGUGCCGCUGUAAAGACGAUUACUUUGUUGUUGGUCUGUACCGCAGCGACUGUGACAAGCUGCUGUGUUUGGAGUAUUUACAGUGCUGCAAAUUUAGGUGAAAAUAUCUCACGGAAGUGGAUCGACCACACUGAAUAAAAACAAAACGAUUUUGAGUUAAUACUUUCUUUAAAAAUAAUUUCGAGUAUCAAAAAAUAUUUUGUUGAAAUCUAAAAUCAAACUUCUAAAUAAAAUAUUAAAAAAAAGUUA